rnacentral:rRNA from 1 species
AGUGAACGCUGGCGGUAGGCCUAACACAUGCAAGUCGAACGGCAGCACAGUAAGAGCCUGCUCUUACGGGUGGCGAGUGGCGGACGGGUGAGGAAUACAUCGGAAUCUACUUUUUCGUGGGGGAUAACGUAGGGAAACUUACGCUAAUACCGCAUACGCCCUACGGUUGAAAGCAGGGGAUCUUCGGACCUUGCGCGAUUGAAUGAGCCGAUGUCGGAUUAGCUAGUUGGCGGGGUAAAGGCCCACCAAGGCGACGAUCCGUAGCUGGUCUGGGAGGCUGAUCAGCCACACUGGAGCGGAGACACGGUCCAUACGACUACGAGAGGCAGCAGUGGGGAAUAUUGGACAGUGGGCGCAAGCCUGACCCAGCCAGACCGCGUGUGUGGAGAAGGCCUUCGGGUUGGAAAGCCCUUUUGUUGGUAAAGAAAAGCAGCAGGUUAAGACCCCGCUGUUCUGACGGUACCCAAUGAAUAAGCACCGGCUAACUUCGUG